UACCCCCGUCAAUGGGAGCUUGCUCCUGAUGUUAGCGGCGGACGGGUGAGUAACACGUGGGUAACCUGCCUGUAAGACUGGGAUAACUCCGGGAAACCGGGGCUAAUACCGGAUGGUUGUUUGAACCGCAUGGUUCAAACAUAAAAGGUGGCUUCGGCUACCACUUACAGAUGGACCCGCGGCGCAUUAGCUAGUUGGUGAGGUAACGGCUCACCAAGGCAACGAUGCGUAGCCGACCUGAGAGGGUGAUCGGCCACACUGGGACUGAGACACGGCCCAGACUCCUACGGGAGGCAGCAGUAGGGAAUCUUCCGCAAUGGACGAAAGUCUGACGGAGCAACGCCGCGUGAGUGAUGAAGGUUUUCGGAUCGUAAAGCUCUGUUGUUAGGGAAGAACAAGUACCGUUCGAAUAGGGCGGUACCUUGACGGUACCUAACCAGAAAGCCACGGCUAACUACGUGCCAGCAGCCGCGGUAAUACGUAGGUGGCAAGCGUUGUCCGGAAUUAUUGGGCGUAAAGGGCUCGCAGGCGGUUUCUUAAGUCUGAUGUGAAAGCCCCCGGCUCAACCGGGGAGGGUCAUUGGAAACUGGGGAACUUGAGUGCAGAAGACGAGAGUGGAAUUCCACGUGUAGCGGUGUAAUGCGUAAAGAUGUGGAGGAACCACCAGUGGUCAAAGGCGACUCUCUGGUCUGUUACUGACACUGAGGAGCAUAAGCGUGCGGAGCUAA
rnacentral:rRNA from 1 species